rnacentral:tRNA from 1 species
GCCGGGAUAGCUCAGCCGGUAGAGCAGAGGACUGAAAAUC